rnacentral:rRNA from 1 species
AAUAUAACGNCCUUCCUGACAUACGUCAGGAAGGGUAAACCCUAAGGGUUUUUGCAAUGGAUGUAAAUUAAAACUCUAUAUGAGUAACAACUAGAGGACAAGUCUGGUGCCAGCACCCGCGAAACAGWYGUUACACGGGAGAAUGCAGUAGCUAAUCACUGCUGUAUAGUCGGUUCCUAUUAUUAUGAUCAUUCAGUAGGAAUACCGGCAACACUAUCAAAUUGCGGAGACGCCCUAAAGCCCUUCACUACCAAGCAGCGUCGAAAGAUUGCUGUGGCACAAAUGAUUUGUGGUAUGGUGAAAACGUGUUGGGAUAGAGAUUGGCCUUGUUUCGAAAAUAUUCAGCGUUACGAGCACCACCAAUCGCAAAGGGUCCGAAUCAGGGGACCAACAACAAUGGGUUAUCACGCAGCCAAGCUCUACGUCAAUCUUGAUAUGAGUGCAGUUCACAGACUANACGUUAGUGGGUCUUAAUUAUUAAGGCUUAAGAUAUAGUCGGUCUCCAGGGAAACCUGGCUCUAUCACAAAGACCUAUGAUCGGUCCCGAGGGUAGAGGCUUAGUAAAGAUCUAAGCAAUGAGAACAAAAAAACAUUAGCAGCCCCUCCCUUAAGCCACAACUAUGAAAUCACGCAACCGCCUAUCACAAGAUGAUAUGGCCGAGAUGUACUCACAUCUCUAUUACCUUAAAUAUUUAAAAAUUGUUGGGGGUGGGCAUAGAUAUUCAAUCUAUGCCACUGAAACGGGGAGGGACAUGGUUAAUGGACAUGGUGCCAAGAUUCCAUGUUUGCAUCUGCUAAAAAGCAAAAUGUAUCGGAGGGAUGAGAGUUUCGAUGUUGAAACUGCAGAUUUCCAACGAGUGACAAGUCAUAGGACUACUAUCAAAAAUGUGCAAGUGUACAGAUAUGCUUUGGCUUAUAAGCUCAAGUUAAAAAAACCAGCUUCUACCAUUUGGUAAAACCAAAGACUAUAGUGGCCAUCUUUGUGGUGAUUCCAACUGUGUUGAAUAUCGCCAUGUCUACAGUUCAAGUAGAAGAAUGGGUGAACAAGACAAAUCUUACCACGCUUUUCUUUUGCAUCCAGAUUGGACUGUGAGGCACAGAUUCCGGUAUAUACACGUCCGUUAUAGACCUGAUCUAUUUGGAAUCCCGGCCACUGUAGAAAGCAUGCCUCUUCCAAGUGAAGACGAUCACUCUGCAAAUUUUAAAUUUCUCGAAUAUCUCAAACAUUUGUAAAUAAAAGUUCUCUUUGUUUAGUCAACUAAGUUGAUGAAACGGUAAUUCCAGCUCUAGUAGUAUAUAUUAAUGUUGUUGUGGUUAAAACGUUCGUAGUUUAAAAAAGACUGUGUUCAGACAGGUCGCUGUACUGUAUGCUGGGUCUUGAAGGGCUAGUCCCAUCUCGAUUCAGAGGAAAUCUUUCCAUGUGCGGUGCGGCCCUGGGUCCUGAAGUUAACGGAUGUACCCCGUAUGUCCAUACUGAGGGAUGGUCUGUUUGGAUAUAUUCGUCCACGUGGCCGUGAGUAAAUCUGUGUGUUUAAUGCGAUCUCAAAAACUGUCGACUAGUUCUUACUGGUCAAUGUUAAAUGAUUAUUUGUUGUAGCACGGUACCACGCAAAAGUCUACAUCUUUGUAUUGUAGAUGAGACAAAUGAGAUACUGAUUCAAGUAUGCCGUACCGAGGAGCUAGAGGUGAAAUUCAAUAACCUUCUCGUGACGACCUGAUGCGAAAGCUGCAUACAAGGACGUAUCUGUCGAUGAGGGACUAAAGUUAGAGGAUCGAAGAUGAUUAGAUACCGUUGUAGUUCUAACUAUAAACUAUAUCGACUGGAAAUUCCAGUAACACAAACCCAAGAUUAUUGGGGCAUCCUCGGGAAACCAAGUUUUUGGAUUCCAGGGGGAGUAUUAUCGCAAGUUUGAAACUUAAAAGAAUUGACGGAAAAGCACCAACCAUGG